AGCGCCUGUAGCUCAGAGGAGAGAGCAAUUGCCUUCUAAGCAGUGGGCCGGGGGUUCGAGUCCCUCCAGGCGCGCC
rnacentral:tRNA from 1 species